GUUUGAUCAUGGCUCAGAAUCAACGCUGGCGGCGUGCCUCAGACAUGCAAGUCGAACGAUUAAAGCUCUCUUCGGAGAGUGCAUAGAGUGGCGCACGGGUGAGUAACACGUAAGUAAUCUACCUUCGAGUGGGGAAUAACGUCCGGAAACGGGCGCUAAUACCGCAUAAUGCAGCGGCAUCGCAAGAUGACAGUUGUUAAAGGAGCAAUCCGCUUGAAGAGGAGCUUGCGGCAGAUUAGCUAGUUGGUAGGGUAAUGGCCUACCAAGGCUACGAUCUGUAACCGGUCUUAGAGGACGGUCGGUCACACUGACACUGAAUAACGGGUCAGACUCCUACGGGAGGCAGCAGUCGGGAAUUUUGGGCAAUGGGGGAAACCCUGACCCAGCAACGCCGCGUGAAGGAUGAAGUAUUUCGGUAUGUAAACUUCGAAAGAAUAGGAAGAAUUAAUGACGGUACUAUUUAUAAGGUCCGGCUAACUACGUG
rnacentral:rRNA from 1 species